rnacentral:tRNA from 1 species
GGAGGGCUCGCCUAGUGGCCGAUGGCGCUGGUCUUGAAAACCGGUAUGAGGAAACUCAUCGUGGGUUCGAAUCCCACGCCCUCCG